rnacentral:rRNA from 1 species
AGUGAACGCUGGCGGUAGGCCUAACACAUGCAAGUCGAACGGCAGCACAGUAAGAGCUUGCUCUUACGGGUGGCGAGUGGCGGACGGGUGAGGAAUACAUCGGAAUCUACUUUUUCGUGGGGGAUAACGUAGGGAAACUUACGCUAAUACCGCAUACGACCUACGGGUGAAAGCAGGGGAUCUUCGGACCUUGCGCGAUUGAAUGAGCCGAUGUCGGAUUAGCUAGUUGGCGGGGUAAAGGCCCACCAAGGCGACGAUCCGUAGCUGGUCUGAGAGGAUGAUCAGCCAGACUGGAAGUGAGACACGGUCCAGACUCCGACGGGAGGCAGCAGUGGGGAAUAUUGGACAAUGGGCGCAAGCCUGAUCCAGCCAUACCGCGUGGGUGAAGAAGGCCUUCGGGUUGUAAAGCCCUUUUGUUGGGAAAGAAAAGCAGCAGGUUAAUACCCCGCUGUUCUGACGGUACCCAAAGAAUAAGCACCGGCUAACUUCGUG